GACAGAGCAUGAACGGGGGAGGGUCAGAGAGAGAGGGAGACACAGAAUCUGAAACAGGCUCCAGGCUCUGAGCUGUCAGCACAGAGCCCAAUGCGGGGCUCGAACUCACGGACCGCGAGAUCAUGACCUGAGCUGAAGUCGGACGCUUAACCGACUGAGCCACCCAGGCCCCCCUCUCUCUGUGGUUCUAUACCUUUCCUUUUUUUACCUGCCUCAAUCUGGGGUGCAUUUGAAUUCCAAACAGAAAUCUGAUCAUGUGACACUCUUAUUUAAAAAACCUGCACCUGUUGGUCUGGCAGAUGAAGUUCAAACUCUUCACCGUAGCACAGAAAGGACUUCUUCACCUGGUCUCAUGCUCUCUGUGGAUGUCCUUUGUGACUCACGCCCUUCUCAGAAGGCAUGCUGAAUGGCUGCGCCGUGUUGUAUGUCUGUGUCUUCUUCUGUCUACCGUGAUUUCUUCCUUUCAGGUGGAAUGCCAUUUCUUUUCUUCUGCAGCUGCUGUGCACUUAUCCUUUAGCCUCUGUCCAAAUAUAAAUCCUCUUCUAACUUCUGCUUUCUCGUCACCUGCUUCUCCACUUCCUCAGCAUCUCGGGCUCGCCUCUGUUAGGACCCUUUGCCAGUAGUGCCUGGUGAAUUCUCUCUCCUUCUCCAGACUGCACACCCUUCAGGAUUCUGAACGAUCUUCGUCUUUGGAGGCCUAGUGUGGGAUAGCUUAUAAAGUUGAUUCACUGACUGCUGGUUUAAAAUGGUGUCUGCGAACAGCCUCUGCUACAGCUUUCUCCGUAAUGUGCAGUAAAAUACCUAAGAAGGCUUAGAAGAAGAUAUAAACUCAAAAUACAGCCAUAAACUUGGACUGACAAUCAACUAAAGGCUGGAUCAGGGAGGUAUUCUAGACUCUGGGACUUCAGCAGUAAAUAAAGCUGACAAAAAUCCCACCCCUGCAGAGCUUGCAUUCCAAAGGAAGAAGACAAAAAUAAAAUGUAUUAUAUGACAUAGUGUGAUAGGAAGUGAAAAUGGCUAUGUAGAAAAAUAAAGAGGGAGGGGGAGAAAAAUAAAAAGGAAGGGGCCUCAUUGAGAAGAUGACAUUUGAAGAAAACCUGUGGACUUCCUGGGGAGAAGUGUCUCAGACCCAGAGAGCAGCCAGUUUAAAGGCCCUGAAAUGGGAACAUGCUGGAGAUGCUGGAGAAUUUCAGAAACAGGAGGAGACCACUGUGGUUGGAACAGUGUGACGAUGGGACAUGGAGAGAUAGCGGGGUGCCAGAUCUUGUAUGUCCUUAAGUUUCAUUCACCAGACACAUGAAAAGAUGCUCAAGGUCACUCAUCAUCAGGGAAAUACACAUCAAAGCCACACUGAAAUACCACCUCACACUGGUCAGAGUGGCUAAAAUGAACAGAUGAGGAAAUUACAGAUGCUGGCAAGGAUGUGGAGAAACGGGAAUCCUCUUGUACUGUUGGUGGGAAUGCAAACUGGUGCAGCUUCUCUGGAAAACAGUGUGGAGGUGCCUCAAAAAAUUAAAAAUAGAACUAACCCAGCAAUAGCACUGCUAGGAAUUUACCCACGAGAUACAGGAGUGCUGAUGCAUAGGGGCACAUGUAUCCCAAUGUUUAGAGCAGCACUAUCAACAAUAGCCAAAUUAUGGAAAGAGCCUAAAUGUCUACCAACUGAUGAAUGGAUAAAGAAGAUGUGGUUUAUAUAUACAAUGGAAUACUACUUGGCAAUCAGAAAGAAUGAAAUCAUGCCAUUUGCAGCAACGUGGAUGGAACUGGAAGGUAUAAUGCUGAGUGAAAUAAGUCAGUCAGAGGACAGAUAUCAUGUUUUUACUCAUAUGUGGAUCUUAAGAAACUUAACAGAAGACCAUGGGGGAAGGGAAGGGGGAAAAUAGUUACAAACAGAGAGGGAAGGAAGCAAACCACA